AGUUUAUCUGGACGUUGUGCCCGAUUAUGAGCUCAACUCUGAAGCAGAUGUAGCAACAAUUUUCUUGGCCAUUGACAGCUUCUGCUUUUCUUUAAAUGCCUUGAGGAGAAACAACCUGUUUCAGACACACAAAGAGAAGCCAGAAAAGACAGAUCUUCAGUCACCACCAACCUGAAGCGGUUCCCUGUGAAAAGCUCUACUACACAUUGCCAAUUAUAUUUUCAGCCUCCCAAGUGAGAAAUCCUUCUCCUGUCCUGCUAGAGGACAGCUUCCCAAUUUAAUAAACACACUGUCAGGAAAACUUCUCCAGAGAAUUCAUCAGAAAUACAUGCAACAGAAUGAGACAGAAUUUUAUUUGUUAAGCUUCAAAGGCAUUAUGGUGCUUAGGAUGCUAAGAACUGAAUAGAGCAUUAAACUUGUAUCUCACAUUCCAGCAGAGUACUCUAACCUCUAAUCUGUAAUAAAAAUGAGAAGGAAUAUCCUCCUCUAUGUCCAUGUCCUUUUUCACUCCCAGGUGGCAUAUAAAAAUAAAACUGACAAAACAAACAAUAAAAAGACUUAUCCACACUGUUUUGGUUUUCUGUCAUUGAUGGUCAAGCUGGUUCCCACUGAAGACCGUAUGGCCAGUCAAG